UUUUCUGGGGGUCGAUUAAGCCAUGCAGUCGAACGAACCUUGUGUUCGUGGCGAACGGCUCAGUAACACGUGGAUAACCUGCCCUUGGGACCGGGAUAACCCCGGGAAACUGGGGAUAAACCCGGAUAGGUGGUGCUGCCUGGAAUGGUUCUUCACCGAAACACCUUCGGGUGCCCAAGGAUGGGUCUGCGGCCGAUUAGGUUGUUGGUAGGGUAACGGCCUACCAAGCCGAUCAUCGGUACGGGUUGUGAGAGCAAGAGCCCGGAGAUGGAACCUGAGACAAGGCUCCAGGCCCUACGGGGCGCAGCAGGCGCGAAACCUCCGCAAUGCACGCAAGUGCGACGGGGGAACCCCAAGUGCCACUCUUAACGGGGUGGCUUUUCAGAAGUGUAAAAAGCUUCUGGAAUAAGGGCUGGGCAAGACCGGUGCCAGCCGCCGCGGUAACACCGGCAGCUCAAGUGGUAGCCGCUUUUAUUGGGCCUAAAGCGUCCGUAGCCGGUCUGAUAAGUCUCUGGUGAAAUCCCACAGCUUAACUGUGGGAAUUGCUGGAGAUACUACCAUGACUCGAGGUCGGGAGAGGCUGGAGGUACUCCCAGGGUAGGGGUGGAAUCCUGUAAUCCUGGGAGGACCACCUGUGGCGAAGGCGUCCAGCUGGAACGAACCUGACGGUGAGGGACGAAAGCCAGGGGCGCGAACCGGAUUAGAUACCCGGGUAGUCCUGGCCGUUAACGAUGUGGACUUGGUGUUGGGGUGGCUUCGAGCUGCCCCAGUGCCGAAGGGAAGCUGUUAAGUCCACCGCC
rnacentral:rRNA from 1 species